UCGAGGAUCUUCGGCAAUGGGCGCAAGCCUGACCGAGCGACGCCGCGUGUGCGACGAAGGCCUUCGGGUUGUAAAGCACUGUCGAGGGGGAGAAAAGCCGAAAGGUUCGAUCUAUCCCUGGAGGAAGCACGGGCUAAGUUCGUGCCAGCAGCCGCGGUAAGACGAACCGUGCGAACGUUGUUCGGAAUCACUGGGCUUAAAGGGAGCGUAGGCGGGCUGCCAAGUCCGGGGUGAAAUCCUCCAGCUUAACUGGAGAACUGCCUCGGAUACUGGAAGUCUCGAGGAGGGUAGGGGCAAGUGGAACCGUGGGUGGAGCGGUGAAAUGCGUUGAUAUCCAUGGGAACUCCGGUGGCGAAGGCGACUUGCUGGACCCUUUCUGACGCUGAGGCUCGAAAGCCAGGGGAGCAAACG
rnacentral:rRNA from 1 species